rnacentral:rRNA from 1 species
AUGGCCCAUCAGCUAGUUGGUAGGGUAAAGGCCUACCAAGGCUACGACGGGUCGCUGGUCUGAGAGGACGACCAGCCACACUGGCACUGAGAUACGGGCCAGACUCCUACGGGAGGCAGCAUCGACUUUACCGUACUUGUCUAUGCCGAUUACAAACUCCUUGCCGGCAUCCUUAGCGGAUAUCAUAUCGCUGAGGCCUACUGGAAACGCAGGGUCGGCAAUAGCCUUCCCGUUGACCAGGAGAGCGCCGCUCUUUAUGACUUUUAUCGCUUCUCCGGUCCUUGAUGCAAGGCCUGCCUUCUUUGCGAAGAGCGCCAAUGCUAUGCCCUUCUCUUUAGUGUGCCUGCCUGGGCUAGCCUUGAUCACGUACUUG